rnacentral:piRNA from 1 species
CAAGUGAGAUCGGUGACCCAGC